rnacentral:tRNA from 1 species
UCCCAUGUAUCUCUGUCGGUAAAGAAUCUGCCUGUAAUGCAGGAAAUGCGGGUUCUAUUCCUGGGUUGGGAA